rnacentral:rRNA from 1 species
UACGUAGGGCGCAAGCGUUGUCCGGAAUUAUUGGGCGUAAAGAGCUCGUAGGCGGCUUGUCACGUCGGGUGUGAAAGCCCGGGGCUUAACCCCGGGUCUGCAUUCGAUACGGGCAGGCUAGAGUGUGGUAGGGGAGAUCGGAAUUCCUGGUGUAGCGGUGAAAUGCGCAGAUAUCAGGAGGAACACCGGUGGCGAAGGCGGUUCUCUGGGCCUUACCUGACGCUGAGGAGCGAAAGCGUGGGGAGCAAACAGG